rnacentral:tRNA from 1 species
GGAGGGGUCGCCUAGUGGUCUAUGGCGCCGCCUUGGAAAGGCGGUAUGGGGGCAACUCCAUCGCGGGUUAGAAUCCCGCCCCUUCCGCCA